rnacentral:rRNA from 1 species
AGCGAACGCUGGCGGCAGGCCUAACACAUGCAAGUCGAACGAACUCUUCGGAGUUAGUGGCGGACGGGUGAGUAACACGUGGGAACGUGCCUUUUGGUUCGGAAUAACUCAGGGAAACUUGUGCUAAUACCGAAUGUGCCCUUCGGGGGAAAGAUUUAUCGCCAUUAGAGCGGCCCGCGUCUGAUUAGCUAGUUGGUGAGGUAACGGCUCACCAAGGCGACGAUCAGUAGCUGGUCUGAGAGGAUGACCAGCCACACUGGGACUGAGACGCGGCCCAGACUCCUACGGGAGGCAGCAGUGGGGGAUCUUGCGCAAUGGGCGAAGGCAUGACGCAGCCAUGCCGCGUGAAUGAUGAAGGUCUUAGGAUUGUAAAAUUCUUUCACCGGGGACGAUAAUGACGGUACCCGGAGAAGAAGCCCCGGCUAACUUCGUG